GGCCUCGUAGCUCAGCUGGUAGAGCGCGUGCGUUCCAAGCGUAGGCGGCAUCCAUGCGUGGGUUGGAAUCUCACCGUUGCUA
rnacentral:tRNA from 1 species